AAGGAUGACUGCUGAGGGCUGCAAGCAGCUGACUCACUACCCAGUGGAGAGGAUCUGGCUGAGAUCAGAGUUGGGCCAAGGCAAACAGCAAGAUCCUGUGCUCAGGGGAGAAGCUGAUUACUUCAUACAGAGAAUUAAGGAAGAAUUUGUGGCUGUAUUUCAAAUCUUUUGGAAAGGAUAUACAUUAAUGCCUGCUGCACUUCCCUCCACAUUGCUGACACCAAGCACCACUCCUUUCUUCUCUUUCUCCCCAAACACCCCGCAAAAAUGGGAGAAUGUUGACAGCCCAAGGAUUCAAAGAUGGGAGGAGAGAGAUCAUGAAGUAAAGUCACUAAUGGGAGAAACCAUCGCAAAAUCCUGGAGACAUGGGGCUUUUCCAGAGAAUUUUGAGGCGGCAACGUCACCCGAAAACUGAAACGCAUAGUUGAAAUUUAACAAACUGCAACGAAUGAUCCAAGAGAGCAGAAACCAUGGCCAGCUCACACUGAGCAGGGGCAGUCCACCCACACUUAUUCCCAGUGAUUCAGGAAUUUAGGGAGCAGAGCCAAGAACAAAGCAGGACAUUGAAAAGAGCAUGUAGCAAGCAUCCCCAAGAUUGGCCUUUCUCCUGUGGAACUCAGCGUUCAGCCACCCCAUAGUCACAAAGACACAGGGAAAAUGAAGUCAUAAAAGUAAGAAAUGUGACAGAGUAGUAGUUGAGAGAAAGGAAAGAAAGCUGAAUCAUGUCACACUGGAAGCGACUGCAAAGGGGAAAACCGCGGGCCAAAAUGCCGGGGAGGCCAAUUUCCUCUGUCAAUGUCCAUUGACAAGGGGGAAGGGAGGGAAACGCAGAUUUCCCAGCAGCGUGGCAGGUCUUGGCACCCGCCUCGGUUCCCCUGCCGAACUUCCACAAAUAAACAUGCGGAGCCGGAGCUGAGGGGACAGAUUUGCUUCUCAGCAAGAUUUCAAA